rnacentral:misc_RNA from 1 species
UUUCCGUAGGUGAACCUGCGGAAGGACCAUUACAGAGUUCAUGCCCUCACGGGUAGAUCUCCCACCCUUGAAUAUUUAUACCUUAGUUGCUUUGGCAGGCCGUGGAAACACCAUGGGCUCCGGCUUAUGCGUGCCUGCCAGAGGAAACAAACUCUGCUUUUAGUGAUGUCUGAGUACUAUAUAAUAGUUAAAACUUUCAACAACGGAUCUCUUGGUUCUG